GAUGAACGCUGGCGGCGUGCCUAAUACAUGCAAGUCGAGCGAACAGACGAGGAGCUUGCUCCUCUGACGUUAGCGGCGGACGGGUGAGUAACACGUGGAUAACCUACCUAUAAGACUGGGAUAACUUCGGGAAACCGGAGCUAAUACCGGAUAAUAUAUUGAACCGCAUGGUUCAAUAGUGAAAGACGGUUUUGCUGUCACUUAUAGAUGGAUCCGCGCCGCAUUAGCUAGUUGGUAAGGUAACGGCUUACCAAGGCAACGAUGCGUAGCCGACCUGAGAGGGUGAUCGGCCACACUGGAACUGAGAGACGGACCAGACUCCUACGGGAGGCAGCAGUAGGGAAUCUUCCGGAAUGGGCGAAAGCCUGACGGAGCAACGCAGCGUGAGUGAUGAAGGUCUUCGGAUCGUAAAACUCUGUUAUUAGGGAAGAACAAAUGUGUAAGUAACUAUGCACGUCUUGACGGUACCUAAUCAGAAAGCCACGGCUAACUACGUG
rnacentral:rRNA from 1 species